rnacentral:rRNA from 1 species
AUUGAGCGCUGGCGGCAUGCUUUACACAUGCAAGUCGAACGGUAACAGGCCGCAAGGUGCUGACGAGUGGCGAACGGGUGAGUAAUGCAUCGGAACGUGCCCAGUCGUGGGGGAUAACUGCUCGAAAGAGCAGCUAGUACCGCAUACGAUCUAUGGAUGAAAGCGGGGGACCGUAAGGCCUCGCGCGAUUGGAGCGGCCGAUGUCAGAUUAGGUAGUUGGUGGGGUAAAGGCUCACCAAGCCAACGAUCUGUAGCUGGUCUGAGAGGACGACCAGCCACACUGGGACUGAGACACGGCCCAGACUCCUACGGGAGGCAGCAGUGGGGAAUUUUGGACAAUGGGGGCAACCCUGAUCCAGCAAUGCCGCGUGCAGGAAGAAGGCCUUCGGGUUGUAAACUGCUUUUGUACGGAACGAAACGGUCUGGGUUAAUACCCUGGGCUAAUGACGGUACCGUAAGAAUAAGCACCGGCUAACUACGUGCCAGCAGCCGCCGUAAUAC